rnacentral:rRNA from 1 species
UACAGAGGUCUCAAGCGUUGUUCGGAUUCAUUGGGCGUAAAGCGCGUGUAGGCGGCCAGAUAGGUCCGUUGUGAAAACCCGAGGCUUAACCUCGGGACGCCGGCGGAAACCAUCUGGCUAGGGUCCGGAAGAGGAGAGUGGAAUUCCCGGUGUAGCGGUGAAAUGCGCAGAUAUCGGGAAGAACACCAGUGGCGAAGGCGGCUCUCUGGGACGGUACCGACGCUGAGACGCGAAAGCGUGGGGAGCGAACAGG